AGAACGAACGCUGGCGGCAGGCCUCAAACAUGCAAGUCUAGGGGGUGUAGCAAUACAUCACCGGCGGACGGGUGCGUAACACGUGGGAAUAUACCUUUUGGUUCGGAACAACGCAGGGAAACUUGCGCUAAUACCGAAUGUGCCCUUACGGGGAAAGAUUUAUCGCCAAAGGAUUAGCCCGCGUCCGAUUAGCUAGUUGGUGAGGUAAUGGCUCACCAAGGCUCCGAUCGGUAGCUGUUCUGAGAGGAAGAUCAGCCACACUGGGACUGAGACACGGCCCAGACUCCUACGGGAGGCAGCAGUUGGGAAUCUUGGACAAUGGGGAAACCCUGAUCCAGCCAUGCCGCGUGAGUGAUGAAGGCCUUCGGGUUGUAAAACUCUUUCGGACGGGACGAUAAUGACGGUACCCGUAGAAGAAGCUCCGGCUAACUUCGCGCCAGCAGCCGC
rnacentral:rRNA from 1 species